UCGGCGCGCUGGCGGGCGGCGGCGCGACCUCGCAGGUCGUGAGCGGACUGCGGAUCGAAACCGCCGUGUCGGUCC
rnacentral:tRNA from 1 species